rnacentral:lncRNA from 1 species
ACACAUGUAGUAAGGUCAACAUAGAGGUACAAUCAACGUACUUAUGAAUAAGUCAACAGGUUUCUAAAGGCAACACCGAUAGUCCGUUCUAGCUGGCAGCCUGGCAUAGUGCUUGUCCAUUUUGGCUAGCACAGUGCUGGUCUAUUUUGGCUCAGCAACAUCUCUCAAAAAAGCUAUAUUUUCAUACAUUGCGAUACUUUUAGAAAUAUGUUGCGGUGUAUACAACUAUGUUGCUUUUCAAUAUAUGUUGAAGUUAAUACACAUGUGUUGAUCUCUAAGAAAAUGUAGCGUUUUGAAGAAAUAUUUCAGUAGACAAAAGAAUGUUGCUUUUAGGUAUACACAAAUAUGUUCCUUUAGAAUGUCACUUUUAUUCACAUGUGUUGCGGUAGCCACAAAUAUAUUGCUUUAGAAUGUCGCUUUUAUUUACAUGUUGCGGUAUACACUAAUAUGUUGCUUGCUUUUAGAUAACACGUGUUGAUAUCGACGAAAAUGUAGCUUUUCGAAGAAAUAUUACAUUAUAUAUAUGUGUUUCACUAGACAAACGAAUGUUCCUUUUAGUUAAAUGUUGCGGUAUACACAAAUAUGUUCCUUUUAGUUAUAUGUUAAUAUGUUGAUUCCAUAUAUAGGUUGCUUUUCACUAUAUGUUGCAGUUAAUAUACAUAUGUUGAUCUAACGAAUGUUGCCUUUAGAUAUAUGUUGCGGUAGCCACAAAUAUGUUCCUUUAGAAUGUCGCUUUUAUUUACAUGUUGCGGUAUACACUAAUAUGUUGCUUUUAGAUAUAUGUUGCGGUAUAUACUAAUACACAUGUGUUGAUCUCUAAGAAAAUGUAGCGUUAUGAAGAAAUGUUCGACGGUUGUGCAUUGGCAAAGAAACAAAUCAUUUUAUUUUCCAUGGAUUAGAUAAAAUGGGGCGGUUUGAGAGAAACUAAGCGAUCGAUGCGGUGUGGGGCGGUUUGCUUGCCAUUGGCCUUGAUUGGCAUCACGCCGCUCCGUCUUCUGUAACCUCCCGCUCAGUUCGUCUUCCAGGCCCCGCACCCACCAGUUCGUCGCACUCCCGCUCCAUAUGGACAGUCCAUCUCGUCGCUCCCGCGCUCCAUGGCCAGAUCAUCCUCCCACUGCCGUCGUUUUGGCUACCCCACCCGUUUUGGCUCCAUGUACGACGGCGGCCCCUCCGGAUCUGGCUCCAUGGACAGUUCAUCUCGCUCCCGCUCCCUGGCCACUUCAUCCCGCUCCCGUUCCCGCCACCCCACCGGUUUAGGCUCCAUGUACGACGACGGCCCCUCCGGCUCCCGUUCCCGCUACACGGACAAGGAAAUGACGAUCUCGGUCAACGAGGAGCACGAAGUCCUGGUUACGGUCACGUCCUCAACAAAGACGGUGGAGGGCUUCUUGAGAGAAGUCCGCGGCGAGGAGCCUAAACCGUUGAUCGUCGGUUUAGACACCGAGCAUGCGGAGUAUGAGGGGAAGAAAAAGAUAGCCCUCAUACAGAUAUGCGUCAACACGAGGUGCCUUCUGUUCCAGGUGGGCAUCACCGGCGGCUGCAUCCCCGACGACCUCAAGAGUUUCUUUGUGCGCGAGAACCACGUUUUCGUCGGCGUCGCAAUCACCAACGACAUGGAUCUACUGAGGCAACACCACAACAUCGAGCUUUCCAAGAAGGUGGAGCUACAGGCCAUGGUGCCCUUCGUGAUCCAAGGCAAGUGGUGCAAUGUGCCAAGCCUCGCGUCCAUCGGGCUAGAGUUGCUGGGCGUGGUCGCUGAAAAGAAUAAUCCCAAACUACGUUAUAAAGACUGGCAUAAGAAGAGUCUGGCGCAUGAACAGAUCAAGUACGACGCCUUCGUGUCAUACAAGGUCUGGGAGAUGCUGCAGAGCCAGCCGUAUAACUUUGAUCUCCACGCCUGCCAGUCUCCUGUUCACGCCGGUGGAGGUCAACAGGUGCAAUUGCUCUUUGUCGAGCACCAGCAAACGAAGAGGAUCAAUGCCUGCCCAGCCUGCAUGCCAGGAACUCAUCAGGGGCUGAUCUAGAACUAGGAAGCAUUGCUAUAAAAUGAUUAUUAAUGCCAUUUUUAUGUACAAAUAUUUUUUUUAUUUGUGUUGCGGCAAAUGUCAUUUGUGUAUCUUGCCCCUGCAGGGUUCAAGAACUGGACGUGGGAUAAUGCCCUACUCCAUGCUGUGAAUGUUGCUUCUUCUUCCUCUUCUAAAAAACAUGGUAGCGAGAGCAAAAGACGCCACAAGCUGUUGCUACACAACCAUGGCUUUCUUGUUGAUGAGACUGAGAGUGAUGACAGCUGAUCCGAUCGAUCCUGGAGAAAUUUGAUCGUUCAACCUCGAUCUAGUAUGGAACUGUAGUAUGUAAGUGUGGUACAUAAAGUUGAAAUCCGUGCUGCUUUUGUAUUUGUGUUCGAUCCCUUAUAUGGUACACACGCGUUGCCAUUAUAUAGUAUGGAACUGCAGUACGUAUUGUCUCAUUCGAAUAUGUUCCUUUUAGUUAUAUGUUAAUAUGUUGAUUCCAUAUAUAGGUUGCUUUUCACUAUAUGUUGCAAUUAAUAUACAUAUGUUGAUCUAACGAAUGUUGCCUUUAGAUAUAUGUUGCGGUAGCCACAAAUAUGUUCCUUUAGAAUGUCGCUUUUAUUUACAUGUUGCGGUAUACACUAAUAUGUUGCUUUUAGAUAUAUGUUGCGGUAUAUACUAAUACACAUGUGUUGAUCUCUAAGAAAAUGUAGCGUUAUGAAGAAAUGUUUUACAGAAAAAAUGUUUCACUAGAUAUAUGUUAUGGUAAUACUAUAUAUAAAUAUGCGGGUAACACCUGAUGUUGCAGCAGAACCUUGUUGGAGACGGUCACCAUGUUUUAAUAUUUUCACAGACUCGUAAAAUGCUAAACCUUAUUCAGGUACAUUGUUUCUACUUUAAUUAUUUUCUGCUUCCUACUACCUUAGCACAUCCUUCAACUUGUGACUUUUAGACUCAUUUCUUGUAAUUUGAUAUAUUGAUGAAAUACAGUUUAGAUCCAUUAAUUGAUUUGGGACAUUUAUCAAUCCGUGGUAGCGGAUAUUUAUUCUUCAGAGUGACAGCAUUCACCGGAUGGUAAUCCACACACAUCCACAAAAUACCCUCUUUCUUCUUUUUCACAAAUAGGGCAGGACAAGCCCAAUCCGAGGUACUAGGGCGAAUCAAACCCUUGCCUAACAAUUCUUGGAUUUGCUUUUUCAACUUUGCUAAUUCAUUGAGAGGCAUUCUGUAUGGUCUUCUAGAGAUAGGAGCAGUACCAGGUACCAAUUCAAUUGCAAAUUCAAUAUCUCUAUCCGGAGGUAGACCAGGUAAUUCAUCAGGAAACACAUCCGGAAACUCACAAACAAUAGGAACAUCCAUUACUGACUUGGCCACAAUAGCAUAUGAGGAACUCUAUAACUCAGUCCGAGAAGGCAAGGAUACUAGAAAAGUACCUGCCUUCGCGGGUUCCAUAAUAGUCACUAGUAUCCUUGGUGUAUCAAGCAUAACACCCACUUGCUCAUCCAUUCCAUUCCAAGUAUCACAUCCACACCCAGACCUUGCAUCACAAUCAUAUUCACAAGGAAAGUUCUACCCUCUAUUUCAAGAACUGACCCUAACACUACUUGAUUUGAAAGUGUAUCAGCUCCAGCCGAGCUAAUACAAUAAGCAUACUUCAUUUCAUUAAUUUUGAACUCAUAUUUACGUGCAUAAGCUUGACUAACAAAAGUAUGAGAUGAUCCAGAAUCAAACAAAACGACUGCAGGGUGUAGGUCAAUUGAAAACUUACCAGUAGUCACGAGUUCGCCCUAAGGAACUUCAUCCAAAGUAGUGUGGUGCACACGAGCAAGGUAGGUGUUGGCCCUCUUCUUCUGAGGUUGCGGGCAAUUUCUAGAGAAAUGUCCAUGCUGGCCACAAUUAUAGCACGGUCCUUUGACCCAACUGACAUUGUUGCUGUUGUUAUUGUUGUUGUUACUGCUUUGACUGCUAGAGCUUGAUUUAGCAACAGACUUGCCAGAGUGACUUGGGACACGAAAAUUCCUCUGAUUCUGAUACGGAUGAUGGCGUUUCUGAGGAGGUGAAAGCCCUAGUUUGGUUUUGGAUAAUUGAUGAAACCCUAGUACUAACCUCUAUGCUAAGUGUGUGUAGACUUAAUGAGGUUGGUACAUGCCAAGUGAUGGAGCAAGUGAUGAUCAUGGUGAUGAUCAAGUGCUCAACUUGGAAAACAAGAAAGAGAAAAACAAAACCCUAUGGAGAUCAAGGCAAAGGUAUUGCUUACGGUUUUGGUUUUGGUGAUCAAGACACCAUAGAGGGUGUGAUCACAUUUAGGAUAGAUAGCCGUACUAUAAAGAGGAGAAUUCUUUGGCUAAGCGGUUAUCGAGUGCCACUAGGUGUUAUUGUUCAUGUGCAUGCAUUUAGAACCUAGUGAGCUAACUUAACCCCUUCGAAGAAAAUGAUUGUGAAAAUGCUAACACACAUGUACAUGUUGGUUCACACUUUGUGGUGUUGGCACACUUUGAGAAGGGAGUUGAAGUUUGAAGGGUAGAGAGAGGAUGGGUAGAGAAAGGGGAAUUCAGCGCUUUUCGAGAAAAUGAAGUGCAUAUUUUCUAUUGCGCCGUUGGGAAAGUUGGACAAGUCAUGGGAGUGUUUCUCGCUAAGAAACACUCACCGGACGCCGGCUCAGAGGCACCGGACGCUGUGUCUGAGCGUCCGGUGUGCAGGCUGCCUGGCUCAUCUAGGGUUAGGCACCGGACGCUAGGCACCGGACGCAAGCUGGAGCGUCCGGUGCUCUGGGUCCGGUGUCCGCGCGUUUUGCAAACCUCUCUGGGUGUGAGUCCGGUGAGCACCGGACGGUCCGGUGCUCAGCUUCCGGUGACCUCGCGCGUUUGCAGACCUCUCUGUGUUUUAGACCGGUGUGCACCGGACGCGUCCGGUGCCAACUUGCUCAUCGUCCGGUGCUUUGCAGGUUACCGUUAGACUUUGACACGCGGCUGACUUUGGAGCACCGGACGCAGGGGUUGAGCGUCUGGUGCCAACUUGAGAGCGUCCAGUGACCCUGUGUUUUGCCCAGUGAAAAGAGCCAACGACUCUAUUUGUUUGCGGGGCUAUAAAUACGUGUUGGCCGGCUUAGGGCUCACACUCUUGGCAUUCUAACAUACUUGACAUCCUUGUGAGCCUAAGCAAACACCUCCCACUCAUCUCCUUCAUAGAUUAUUCAUUUUGGUGAGAUUGGGAGUGAUUCCAAGUGUAUUUGCUUGAGUGAUUGCAUCUAGUGGCACUUGGGGAUCGUUCUAGCUGCGGUUUUCUUGUUACUCUUGGUGGUUGCCGCCACCUAGACGGCUUGGAGCAGCGGAGGAGUAUUGGCACGAGUUGGUGAUUGUUCGUGGCCAUCUCCCGGUGAUUGUGAGGGGUCUUGUACCUUCCCCGGCGGAGAGCCAAAAGGUAACUCUAGUAAAGUGCUCAUGUCAUUGAGCUACCUCACUUGUGGGUAGGUUCUUGUGGUGUCCUAGUGAGGACGAGGUUCGUGCUACACCUCUUAGCCACCGAACCACCAAGUGUUGGUCGACACAACGGGGACGUAGCGUGCCGGCAAGCACGUGAACCUCGGGAGAAAAAUUUUGUGUUUCCAUUGUGAUUGAUUGGAUUUCUCCCGGUGAUUGGACUUCAUAUUAUUGAUUGGUUCAUCCCCUCUACGCGGCGGUAUAAAGUUCAAACCAUCUCUUUUACAUUCCCGCAAACUAGAGUAGCUUACUAACUUGUAUAGAAACUUUAGGUAGCUUUCUAGUGUAAGUAGUGACAUGGCUCUUGUGUGCCUAGUGAUUAUAUCAACUAGAAUUGUUGGAUAGAUCGCUUGCAAUCACCCCAUUAGAGCUAGAGCAAAAAGCUUCGCUUUGUUAUUUACUAACCUCUUGCUCUAGUGAGUUUGUAGAAUUUUUAAAUAGGCUAUUCACCCCCCUCUAGCCAGGACCUUUCAGGAGGUUUGAACCGAGCACCCGCACUUGGAGGACGAAAAUAGGCACGUCCGCCAAACUGCGGCUUCUGAUGGGACUGUCCAGAAGAAAAAUGUUUCUUGUUCUUUUCAGCAGCAGCAGCAGCAGACAAGUUGUUCAUCUCUUGAGUCAGGCAGUCACUGAUGAACUCAUGGAAAGUAGUAGCAUGAUUGAUGUCCAUAAACUGUUUCAUUUCAGGAUUCAGGCCCCGCUUGAAACAAAUAAUCUUCUUAGCAUCAGUGGUGACAUACUCUGGACAAUAGCGAGACAAAUUGUUGAACUAAUGCACGUAUUCUUUGACAGGCUUGUGCCUUGAGAGAGAGACAAAAACUCUUCCACUUUUGUAGUCAAGAGGCUUGGAGGGAUAUAAUUAUUCUUGAAGUCCUCAGUAAACCUCUGCCAAGUGAUUGGCACACCAGCGCCAUAAGAUGCACGCUGGGUCCUCCACCAAGUACCAGCAGGUCCUUGCAGCUGAUGCGCUGCAUAUUCCACCUUCAGCUCUUCUGUCAUUCUCAGGAGAUGAAAUUUUUGUUCUAUGGAGCCAAUCCAUUCUUCAGCAUCCAGCGGUUCCACACAACCCGAGAACACAGGAGGAUUGGUGUGCUGGAAGUCUUUGAAACUGCUAUAUUGGUUGACCUCAUCAUCACGGCGGCGACCACCACCCUGAUCUCUUUCAAACACCUGUCGCAUAAAUGCAGCCAUCUCACACUGUGAUUCUUCAGUAUUGCGUUGACUUCCUAGCAUAGCUGCCAUGAACUGUUCAGCGGUGAGAGGAGGCGGAGGCGGAGGUCGGUGUUCAGCAUCUCCACCACUACCAUUCCCACCAUUGCCAUUGUUCCCAAUAGGAUCAUCAUGACCAGUGGGGCCACUGCUAUACCCACGUCCACUGCGAGUGUUCAUCUGCACAGACCACAUUUAACCCAUUAUCACAUUGCUGUCAUCAAAUGAUUAUAUGAGAUACAUAUAUGUUUAUCAUUGCCACUAACAGAACGAAGGGAUAAUUUCUGAAGAUAACAGAAAACUAUCAUUCUCAUAGGUUGACACAUAGAACAUCUUAAAUAGCGGUGAAAGCAUAGAGUUGUCCACAUCCAAAAUUGCCAGCAUACAUACACUAGACUUUUCAGGCGUACGGAUACCACCAAUGCGCGCGGGGGGCUCAGGGCCCUCCCGGCCCGUCGUGUAUGUCGUGGGCGGCAGCUAGGGCUCCCGUAUGGGCCCAAGUCGCCCCGCUUCCUCCGGCGUAGGGUCUGGCCCGUUUCGGGACCAUGACAGAAACGCAACAGAUGACAAAACCGCACUGUCGCUGUGAAAACCCUUCCUCUCCCCUUGUGUUUAAACAGCGACAGUUGUGUGAAAACCCUUCCUCUCCCCCUUGGCCGCCGUUCCCCUUCGCCGCCGAUCGUUGCCGCCAUGUGCGAGACUCGACUCGUAAGGUUAGCGCCCUUGAUCCCCCCUCCCCCACUCUUUCGCAUUUUCUUCACGGAUUAUUUAGGGUUCGUUAAAAUCGCAUUGUGUUAAAACAGCGACAGUGUGUGAAAUCCCUUCCUCUCCCAUUCGCCGCCGAUCGUUGCUGCCAUAUGAGAGACGCGACUCUUCAGGUUAGCGCCCUUGAUUCCCCUCCCCCCGCUCUGUCACAUUUUCUUCACUAAUUAUUUAGGGUUCGUUAAAACCGCAUUGUGUUAAAACAGCGACAGUUGUGUGAAAUCCCUUCCUCUCCCCUUGGCCGCCGUUCCCCUUCGGGUAUGAUUGUUGCCGAUGGCCCAUACUCGCCGUGAGAGACGCGACUCGCCAGGUUAGCACCCUUGUCCUCCCCUCCCCCCAACCACCAUUUCUUCACUGAUUAUAUAUGGUCAGGCCGUCCUUGGAAAAUUGGAGGCCUUGUAUGAAACUAAAAAAAAUGAGGCAUACUUAGUGAAAAUAAGAUUACUACAAUAAGAUAUAUAAAGGAUGGUACCUACGUCGCAUAGUGAUUGUCUUUACUUGAAUAGCAUCACUCGUUAAGUGUUCUUUGAAAUGAAGUCUUCAGUGAUAUGUUCAUAAUCAAUCUCAUGCACAGGGACGGCAUUUAAAGUUAGUAUAUGUUUUCAUUUGAUACUACUUUGAACUUUCACCAUGUUACUGUAUCCUACAAAUAAAUUCCUGACUAAUUAAUUGCAUCAUAUACAUUGCUUAUUAUUUUGGCAUUUUGGUUUCGUGAUUCGUAUGCCACAAUACAUAAAAGGAAGGAGGCAUGGAACAAAAGGCCAUGUCAAAAAUGCACAACCAAAGUGCACAGGAUGAAGCAGCCAUGGAUGGUGGACAAGAAAUGAGCAGAAGUGAACCAGUUGACAGCAGUCAAAAGGAUGAAGCAGCCAUGGAUGGUGAGCACAAAAUGAGCAAAAGUGAACCAGUUGACAGCAGCCAAAAGGAUGAACCAGUUAACAGCCAAAACAAUGAGCAAGAAGCGAGCGAAAAAGGAAAGAGCAAAAAAAGAAAGCGCCAAAAAGGACCCAGACCCAGCCAGGAAGCACCCAGCCAAGAAGGGAGCAAUAAAAGACCCAUUAAGGUGCAGCCUCGUGGUGAUCCUUCCACUGUCUACACAACAGCGUCAUUACUGCCACCAGCAGCAAGGGUUAUGGUCAAAAACCUGGGUUUGGGCCAUUGUCUCGGAUCGACGCGGGGAAGACUUCCAAGCCGAUAUUUCCCGGGCUUUUUGGUACAAACAGCACAAGUGAUUAACUUGGAAAGCGAAGGCAAUGCAGAAGUCAUUAAAUGGGAGAUUGGUGACAGAACCCUUGUGUUCAAAGAAUCUUAUGUGAAACCAGUCCUGGGAAUUCAUAAAGAAAACGGCAAAUAUCAUGACCUGAAAGAUUUGCGACUGAAAAGCAAAAAAGCUAAGAAGGCAUGCAAGGAGGAAUUUUGUCAAAUGUUCAAUUUAUUAAAGAUCGCUGUGAAUAACUGGUAUGUUGAUGAGGAGGAGCAGAAGGAUAGGGGUAAGAAUAAGGAGGAGGGGGAUAACGAGGAUGAGGAGGAUGGUGAGGAGGAGGAGGAGGACAAUCGGUGAAAAAAGUCAAGAAAGCCAAAAUCAAGACAGGCAAAGAUUCCACUCCCUCUAAUUACGGCUGAGCAUGAAAUGAAAGAAAAAAGAAGACUGUUCACACCAUCCAUCAUCCAGAGUUUGCUGGAAAAUGCAGACUCUCCUUUGUUGAAUGGAAAACUUGAUGCCACCAUGGCAACCAAGUUUUUUCUAAUGGUGCUGCUCGACAGAUUGCUGGUCCCAGGAACAUCAAAGUUUAUAUCCGCAGAAGUGAGGUAUGCUGUACAUGACCUUGAGAAUUUGAAGGAUGUUAAUUGGUGCAAGUUAGUAUUCAAUGGGAUGAAGGAGGGUAUUAAAGACUGUCAGAUUAGAAAAACGAAUAAUAUUAAAGGCUGUAUAGAUGUACCAAUGGUAAGUAUCUUUACUAACCUUUUCUCAUUUUGGGUGGAAAACCAUCUUACUGAAUCAUGCUCCACAGGUUUUUUAUUUGGACCACAUAAAGAGGCAAGAUGGCACUGCAGUGAAUCCCUACCUCUUCCCAAGAAUUCGUCAAUAUGCUUCCCCCGAAUUGAUUAAGGAACUGACCAAACAUACUGGAGAUUCCACUCCAGGGGAGUAUGAAACCCUUGAAGUAAGUAAAGAUCAACUGUCCCUUUUCCUUUAUAUCCCUGUGCCUUUCUCAUAACAUUACAUAACAUAUCCCGUUCCCUUUUAACAUAUCCCUUUCGCUUUUCAGUUACUAAAUUCCAAAGACACUUGCUACGGAAACAUGGACAGCCUCAUAGAGGAUGUUCUGCCACCGGAUAAUGUGGCAGAACCGGUGCCAACAGAUGAAAAUAACAUGGUUGUGUCUCAACAUAAUGUGGAAGAGCCACAUGCGUCUCAACAGAAUGAACAGAGGUAAGGUUAUCUAAAAUUGUUGAGAUAUUUCCAACAAUUUCCUUAACCCCCGCUUCAAUGUUUGCGACAUUAACAACAAUUUUCUUAACCUUCGCUUCCAACAAUUUUCCUAACCUCCGCUUCAACUUUUCAGGAACAAAGAAUCUAUGAAUCUACAAGCUCUGUAUCAAAAAUAUGUUUUAGAUCAAACAAGGGAUGACACAGUAUUAGACAUGUUUGGCCAUAAUGUGACGCAAGGAAUGUUUGUUGAAUGCUUUAAAUAUGAAGGACGCAUGCAUUCCGAAAUAUUAGAUGUACAAUGCAAGAUAUGGGGUGAAAAAAGGAAGGAAAUCGUAAUCCUUUCACAAGCUGCACUUGUAAGUAGUCGUUCAACUUAUUUGAUUUUCUUUUAUCAACGAUUUUUAUUUGAUUUUAUUUUAUGUGUCUAUAAAACUGAGAAUGACAUAAUUAUCCUCCUUUCUCAGAAUGUGGGUAAAAUAUCACUGGAAUCAGAGCUUCAAGAAGGAAAGAAAAAUAAAGCGACACAGGUAUGUACUAUUUCAGCUUAGUACAGUUCUAUUUUUUAUAUAUUUCUGAGUUUGACAAUAGGAUUUUUCUUCCCCAGAUAUUCUGCCCGAUUUGGCAUGUUGACCAUUGGUUCCUAAUAGUGAUUGAUAUUCAGCUUAACACCAUAUCCGUGUUUGACUCCUUACCUUGCAAGGAACGCAUUGAGUUUAUCAAAAGAAAGAUUUUAGAACUGACCAAUCCCAUUAAAUCCUACAUGGAUAUUGAUAUCUCGAGUUACAAGCCUCAAAUACCAAAUUGUAGGAGACAAAGAAACGGGUAAUUUUGUUACUGGCCUUGUCUCUUUUUACCUGUCAUUCAAUUUCCUGCUGUCUUUGACAAGAUUUGUGUGUGUCUGUGUGUGUGUGUUUUUUUUUUUGCUGGUACGAUUGCGGUUUCCAUGUUCUGUUGUAUAUUCAAAAUUAUGGAGAAUGUGAAAUCUAUGACUUUGGCAAGGUAAAUGCUUUUUUUUUCUAAAACAUUUCUACUCAUGUAUACACUAAUACCUUUAAAUUGCAGAAUCACUUAUACCUUUAAAUUGCAGGAAACAGUGAGAAAUUUUAGGAUAAAGUUAGCAACCGACCUGAUUAAACACUUGAUCACCAACAAAAGAGCUCCAAGAGUUUACAUUGAUGAUGAUGAGUUGGAUGUCGAGUCAGAUUAUCCUUUCAUGUAUAUGGAGAGUCAUUUUGACAAUAUCUUUUCAAGCAUGGAAAAUGUAGAGGAUGUUUUCCUUCUGAGCAAUGCCCUUGAAAUGUCUCAUGACAACCAGCCCAAGACUGUUGCAGGUGGUGCGAAGGAUAUCUUUUCAAGCACGGAAAAUGAAGAGGAUGUUCUCGUUGUGAGCAAUGCCCUUGAAAUGCCUCAUGACAACCAGCCCAAGACUGUUGCGGGUGGUGAGAAGGAUGGCAGCCAGGGUGAUGCCAGUGUGCAUGACAAAAGCAUGGGUGAGCAGAGACAGGAGCCCCUGAUCAAUACUGUGGGUAGUGUGGAGGAUGACACCAAGAGUGAUGCCAGUGCCAGUGUGCAUACUGAGGAUGCCGUCCUGACCACCAAGAAAAUGACUGCUGCGGCUGAUGCUGAUGGUGACAAGGGAAUGACUGCUGCUGACCAUAGAGUGACUGCUGCUGCUGGGAAUCCCUCGGAUAGUGGCCAUGUAAUGACUGAUGCUGAUGGUGUGGAUGUUCCAAGCACAGGUGACCAGAUUGUGUGUGGUACCGAUUUUGUGAAUGUGAAUAAGAAGACAAAGAAGGCAAAUGAAGGAGAUGAUGAUGAGGAGGUGGAGACGAGUGACGGGCAUGACAGUUGUGAGGGUGAUGUUGACGAUGCUAACCAGCACAGUGCCGACCAUUCCAAGACUGAUGCUGAUGGUGAGCAGAAACAGGCAAGGGCCAAGACUGAAGUGGUUGGUGCAGAGGAUGGCAGCCAGGGUGAUGCUAAGGAUGCCAAGCAGCCCAAUGACGACAAUCCCAUGACUGAUGCUGAGAGUGAGCAGAAACAGGCAAGGGUGACAGAUGAGGAGAAAAACGGCCAGCCCCUGAUCAGUGUUGUGGGUAGUGCGGAGGAUGACACCAAGGGUGAUGCCAGUGUGCAUGGCACACGUACAGGUGACCAGGAUGAGGAGGACUAGGAUGGUACGGAUGAGACAAAGACUGGCGAUGAGACAGGUAGGGAUGAGCAUGAGGGUAGUGAGACAAAGACUGGCGAUGAGACAGAUGAGGACAGUAGUGAGACAGAUCAUGAGAAGGAGAAUCAGAAAUGUGACAAUGUGGAGGAUACAGAUGAUAAGCAGCAUCAGCAAGUUAAAAAAAUGGGCGAAAGCGAAAUCAAAAUCUCCCUGAUCAUUCCGAUGUACUAGCUUCAGGGGCGAAGAGGCACAGAAAGACACCAUGUAAUGUUAACGAAAAAGCAGUGGAGAAUACAGCAAUAGAGAAAUGUGUACCUGGAGACUUGAUGGAAAAGAUCUUCAGAAUAGCCUUGGAGUAAGUUUGAGUUUUAGAACUUAUAGUGACUUACAUGAUAUUUUCUGGGGACUGACAUCAUGUUCCCAAUUUGAAGAAGUGGGAAACAGGUAAUACUUGCUUUGGAUGAGAAAUCAACAGAUUCAACACUGACAGGUGGUAAAAUGGAAGAGUAAUUAAAGCAGGGAGGUGAAAAGGCCACUCUCAUUCUCAAGGCAUUCAUAAAAUGCUUCAAGCAAGAUUGUAAGACAAGUAUUAUACCCAAAUUCUUUCUCCCGCCAGUGAUUGAUGUAAGUAUUCUGUAGAAAAUAUUGUAUCCCUUGCACUUAUCAUUUCGCCCCCUUGCACUUAUCAUUUCGCUCUGAGUGCAGAAAUAUACCGAUGAAGAUAUUUUAUCUGCACUCCCCCAAAAUGUGAUAAACUUGCCCAUUGUUAACGUAAGUUCUGGAGCAUUUAUUACAUGUUUGUUUUAGGGUUUAGGGGCCGUGAUACAAUGUUCAUUUUUGCAGAUACUUGGCGUUGUCUUCUAUACAGAAUGGAUUGGGUUUUGUAUCCAAAUUCAGUCUGGAAACCACCAAAUCUUUGCUAUACAUCACCUUCCGCACCUGACCAACAAGAUUGGAGAAAUGUGCUGUUCUUUUUCAUCACAAAUAGAUAGAGUCUUUGGCAUCGAAACUUCUAAAAAGCCAAAUCUAGUGCCAACGCUUUAUUUCAACAAUUUCCAGUUUGAUGACUAUAUUGCUGUCAUACAUUUUUUCCAAAAAUUCGAACGUGAUUCAAACUAUAUGAAACAAAAGAAAUGGGAAGAGGUUAGUGAAGUUUCCUUCUUAAGGGCAGGGCUGGGGUUUAUCUUUCAACUAUGGAGGUGAGGAUUUAGCAGCCAUAACUUGACAGCUUCUUCUGCUUUCAACGUUCUUUGCAGAAAAGGUUGAAGACAUGGUUUGAACAAUACAAGAAAGAAGUUGUGACAUACCUUUUAGUUCACAAGGAAAACAAAGCAACCUUGACCGGUGCAUUGAAAAACUGCAUUGAAGCACAAGGAAAAAUGAAAUGCCGGAAGAAGUUGCCUGACUUGCAAGUGUCUUAGUCAAAUGAGAAGCCUAGAAAGGUGGCAAGAAAAAAAGGCUAAGAGAAGGCAAGGCUAGAAGAGAUGCUUUGAGGAUGUAAUAUGGCAGGACUAGGAGAUGCUUCUCUCCUAGGUCUUUUUAAACACUUUGCUUUUGAAAUACUUAUGGAACAGUGGUGCUUAAAGUUGUAAUGUGAACUUUAUAUGUAGUAUCAUAGGAGGUUCUUCUCGUUGGCAUAGUUGUAGUAUCCAAUUUGAACUGAGUCUCUGUCUAUUUUUAACAGUAGUAUCGCACUUUGUACACAUCUGUCACUCACAUAAAUGUUGCUGUUUUUCAAGUAUGUAGCUGUUCUUCGAGUCAAUAGUGUCGCACUACCUUGGCUAGCUUUUGCUGGCCAAGGUGUCUGUCUCUGUGCAGGGAGCUGAGAUCAAGAGGUUGAAUUGUAAGCUGCAGAAGGAGAUAACAGCUUAGCAGGAGAUAAGCUUGAUCCCAGCUUUUUCUGAGAGAGGGAAACAGAGGCCCACUAGCUCAACCUAGCCAUGGGAGCAUUAGCAGGCAGACCUGAGAGAGGGAAAGAGAGGGCUGGUGGCGCACCUGAUGACGGCGGGCAGCUCCACCACAGUGGCUUCUUCCCCUACCAUCGAGUGCCUCCAUCUGCUCUUGGUGUGGCUAUUUCCUUUUGUGCUCUGCCCGUUUGGUACUGGUGUCACUGUAAAACUGUUUUGCUUCUAGCCUGCUGCCUAGUCCUUUGUAAUUGCUCUUUAUUUACAUGGCCGGCCUAGUGGGUACGUUGCUAUCAGGUUAGAAUAAUAUGUUGUGCUUUGUGCCUUUGUAAUUCCAACACUUUAACAAUUUUUUUUUGACAAGGUAAACUUAUAUUAAUUAACGGCAAGCCGCCGCAAAGUUGGUACAAUGUGCAAUCGAUACAUUAGCCACUCGCUCAGCAUAUAGACAUGAAUCUAGAUGAGCCUGAUUGAGUCAUCUAAAGUUUGCAGAUGUGGAGCACUCCGAGUUAUAGCCGUAAGCAAGGGAGGCCAAGAAGUGACUUUGUAGAUUUUGCUCUCUAGGCACAAACUGAACAUAUACUUUGAGUUCAGCAAUUUUCCUUUGAAUGUGAUAAAGCGAGCUUGCACAUCUCCAUUCAGGAGGACUGUCACUGUUAGGCUCUCUGAGAUAGUCAGCAAGAAGCUUGGAGUCAGUGAAGAACAUUGAACAGGAUUAGAUAGAUUUCUUGCAAACUCUGAAUGGUGCUUGGAAUUCCCCCAAACUUGGUAAGUAACUUUUAUAACACUGCCUGUAUUCCUCCUGAAAUAAACAGAACUCACAUCACUCUUAUUCCUAAAGUUAAUGCCCCCCAAACUAUUAAAGAUUACAGGCCCAUUAGUCUUUGCAAUGUUAUCUAUAAGGUCAUUGCCAAAUCACUUGCUGACAGAAUUAAAGCCCAUCUACCUCAUAUCAUUCAUCCCUCGCAGACAGCUUUCAUCCAAGGGAGGCACAUUGCCACCAGCAUUAUUAUUGCCCAGGAAAUCAUCCACAGUUUCAAUCUUAAAUCCUGGAAGCACAAAGCUUUUUUGCUCAAAGUAGAUCUUGCUAAAGCUUUUGACCGUAUUGAACGGCAUUUCAUCAUUUCGGCUCUCAAAAGACAAGGUUUUUCUGAUAAAUUUGUGACUCUAGUUUACAGUUGCAUAUCCUCAACUUCCAUGGCUGUUAAUAUUAAUGGCUCUCUAACUGACUACUUCAUCCCUCAAAGAGGUAUAAGGCAAGGCUGUCCUCUGUCUCCAUACCUCUUCAUUCUUGCCGUUAAUGAACUUGCUAUCAAGCUACAACAUAUGUCUUCUGAUCAUGAUAUUCAGGGUAUUACUCUGGGCCCUGGUUGCCCCAAGAUUCAUUGCCUCAUGUUUGCCGACGAUCUUAUCAUCUGUGGGCAGGCCACUCAUGCCGAAGCUGAGAAAAUUAAAAAAGUUCUUCACAACUUUUGCAUAGCUUCUGGCCAAACACCUAAUCUGAGAAAAUCCUCUAUCCUUUUGAGCAAGAAUGUCGAUUCUUUUGCUCAGCAACAGGUAAGAUCUGUGUUCCCUGUGUAGGAUCUUAGUCCAAAUGCUAUCUAUUUAGGUCAUCCUCUGAUUUUUAACCACAAGGACAGAACCUGUGCCUACAAUUUUGUUAUAAACAAAUUUAAAAUGAAACUCACCAAGCUCAAAGCGAAUAAAUUAAACCAUGCCGGCAGACUCACAUAUAUAAAUUCUGUCCUUGCCUCUAUUCCUAUCUAUUACAUGGCCACCAUUCUCUUCUCCAAAGGUUUCAUUGCCAAAAUCACUUCUAUCACUAGGAAAUUCUGGUGGUCUGGUGUGCAGGAUGAAAAUAGCGAGUCAGGUUUCAGUUUCAGAUCUUGGAAGGAUAUUUGCAGACCGAAGGAAGAAGGAGGCCUCGGGAUCAGAGACCUCAGGCUAGUCAACAAAAGCCUCAUUCUUAAUGCUGCAUGGAAGGUUGCAUUAGGUAAAAGCUCUUAUCUUUCUGCCAUCCUAAAGUCCAAAUAUUAUCCCAACACUAGCUUCUGGAAAGCCACCAGUCACCCUGUCACUUCGGCAUUUUGGUCAUCUGCGAUGGCAGUCAAAGCCACCCUAAUUCAAAACUUCAAGGUCCAAAUCUCCAACGGUUCUUCGUGCAUCUGGUCCACCCCUUGGUGCUCUGACUGGAUUAAUAUACAUGACCACUUAAAACUCCCCGUCACUGUUAGACCUCUCCCCAGCAAAAUCUCGGAUCUUUGGAACCAGGAUCUUAUUCAUGCUAUUUUCGAUGAUAAUUUUGCUUCAACUAUUUCCUGUCUAAAGCCGAUAAGCAACAAUCAUAAUGACAGGAUUGUUUGGAUGCCUUCAAAAAAAGGGGAAUGCUCUACUAAAGAUGCUUUUAAGUUCCUCAACAACCAUGUGCAGGUACACCUUCCCGCCCAGGGACCUAGGAGCAUCUCUGCUCAGUCCCUCAUGCUACUCAGGAGAACCUGGAAUCUCAAAUACCUCCCUCCGGUCAUUAAAACCUUUUUGUGGAGACUCAUCCGGUGUGCUCUUGCCAUUGGCAAUAGGGCUGGCAGCCUAGCUCCUAAAAUCAGCACGAACUGCACCUUUUGCGGUGCACUCGAAACUGAUGCUCACAUUUUCUUCACUUGUGACUUUGCAAGGGCGGUCUGGUUUUCCUCAAAAUCACCGCUGCGCUCUACUGAUUUGCCAGUUGAGCAUGAUGGUGUCCAAAGGAGUCUGGCUGCCAUGAUCCCAUCCACCAUCAGCGAUGUGCGCUUAGCUGAUCUACUAUCUACAUUAUGGUAUAUUUGGAAAGCUCGAAAUGAGCUUCGCUUUGGGGGAAAACGGUGGUCUGUUUUGCAGGUUCAUCAUGCCGCUAAAACUCUCAUGGCGACAUUCAGAAUGGAGAUCAAAGCAGAAGGAGAGCCUGCCUUUUCUAAGGCGACUCACUCCACCAUGACAGUGUGCAAUUUGCUGUCUCCCUUGCCUCAGAAUGCAGGGAAAUGCAUAAAGUCCAAAAUGAACAAGGAGGACGCUUCGCUAUUACAUCUUUUAAUGCAGGUAAAUAUACGGAUGGAGAAGAUUUCUCAGGACCCAGCUGAAGGCUUCUCCUGUUACACCGAUGCAGCCAUCUUGCCAGAUGAUAUCAACCUCACUCCCAGGAAAGUGGGAAUCGGCAUUCACUUUGAAAGCUGCUCUGCUAAGGAAACAUUGUUUGUGGCAGCUAAACUCAGUUCCUGUUACUCUGUACUAGAGGCAGAAGCUUUGGCGCUCCUCACUGCACUACAAAACACUUUAACAAUUGGCUGCACACUACUUUGUGCUUGGACCUGUCUCUCUUAGUACGUGCCAGUUUGUAAAACAAAGAGUUGUGUGGCACUUGAUACCAAUAUAUCGCCUUUAACGGAUAUGUAGCUGUUCUUGUCUAUGUCUCUUAUAACAGUACCUGUCGCUUUUACAUGCCACUUUAUACCUUUUACAUGCCAGUUUGUUUUACAAACAGUUUAUAGAGUAGUGACAUAGACAAGAAGACUACUCCACACUCGUCGUCCGCCGCGGCGGCCCCCCGCUGCGCGAGGUCGUGGCAGCCUCCGACGUACGGCCGAGACCACCGCCGCCGCAGGGGCGCGCAGCUCUUCGAUCUCGUCGAGGCGUACCACAGCGAGCGCGUGGCAGCAGCCCGCGCGCGUCCCUCCAGCCAAGAUUAAGGCAAGGGGUCGCUGGUGCCGCCCAGAGCAAUGCGCAAGAAGGCUGAUUCUGGAAGGGAACAUCACAACAAAAACAUCACAACCAAUCUUCCUGGCAGCAGCAUGUUGCUAAAACAAAACGGACCAGCACUGUGCAAGCCAAAACGGACUAUCGGUGUUGCCUUUAGAAAUAUGUUGACUACGUUGAUUGUAACUCUGUGUUGACCUUAAUACACAUGUGUUGCUCUGUAUGAAAAUGAUAGGUUACCGAUAUGAAACGGCACGAGGGUGGCCUGAUCUUCACGACAGUAGAUCAAAAGAACAAAGAUAACUUGCUGCGAACAGCGGGUAACUAGCUUUAUACCUGACAAAGGUUGGAUGCGACCAAGCGACGGGGAGAGAGGCACCGAAACCACGAAGACUUUGACUCGAUCUCCAAACGACCGCAGAACCACAAUCCGGAACUAAUCCACACAAUACGGCGCAGUCGAACGGAAGCCAUAGAGCGCGAAGUAGGGGAACCCAGAGGAUUCACUUCACAAGUCCAAGAAGAACAAGGAAGAACAAAGGUUGAGUAAGGCACUCAGCAGCGCGGCUGCAAUAUCAUGUAGUUUAUCAAAUGAUCAAAGGUUGCUAAUAGCUUAGAGGUAGGGGAUAUUUAUACUAGGAACAACCCUCCUAGAUAGGUAUGAAAACGAAAUAGAGUUUCUGGGUGAAGGCAAUGUGAAAAGACCCCUCGGAAUGGAUUCCCGAACUGGCUUCGCGUGACUGUUGGCCUCUAGAGCAGUUUCCUAUAAACUGACCAUAACUUUUUAUUGGGAAGUCCAAAUGACGAACCGUUUCUUGGGUGUGAAAUGAGACUCGAAGAGCUUUCCAGCAAUGUAUGCCAUGUACCUCAAAACGUUGUAGAUUGGUACAGUUUUGCGCGGCAAGUUGCACCAACAUUCUGUCACGAUAGACUGUUGACCUUCUGAGCAGUCUAUACUAAUUCUGAUCUGCAAGCAAUAUGGAGUAUCAAAACUGGUCGCCACUAGAUUCAUUGGAAAUUAGACUCGACAAGCUUUCCAACAAGUCCUCAUCGGCCUUCAUAGCUUUUGUGAUUAAAAAGUUAUGAAGAUUUCUUUGCACAGGUCUGUUUUUGACAUCCACUGGUCCGUUUAUGACUUCCACUAGUCCGUUUUUGACGUGUCUUCUAGGACUUGCACUGGUUCGUUCUUCAGGGUCCGAUUCAUCCUUCUCUUCUUCUAUAUACCUGAGUACAAUCAAGGUAGAACACUUAGGUAGUAUAUAAUUCUCAUUAAUGUUAAAAUGAAUCUCACAAAGUAGCGCGUGGACCUCUUGUUGUAGCUUCUUUGCACGACUACGUGUAACCGGUCCAUCGAUGACUUGGGCUGGUGUCGGUGUAGGUAAAACUUGAGUGGUUGUAGCUUGACUUGGAGCUUGUGACAUCUUGCUUGCUGGCAUGGUCAUAUCAUCCUCCCCCCCUUCAAAAAGAGUCAUCCUCGACUCUUCCAAUCCAAAGAAUGGAGAAAGGUCGGAGACAUUGAAACUUGUACUCACACCAUAAGUACUUGGAAGAUCAAUUUCAUAAGCAUUGUCAUUGAUCUUGCGAAGCACUUUGAAUGGAUCAUCGGCUCGGGGUUGCAGCUUGCUCUUGCGUUGUUCAGGAAACCGAUCCUUGCGCAGGUGCACCCAAACCAAGUCUCCCGGUUCAAAUAACAUCUUCUUACGACCCUUGUUGGCGUGCUUCUCAUAUAACUUGGUCAUCUUCUCAAUGUUUGCUUUAGCUUGAUCAUGAAGCUUCUUGACAAAUUCUGCUCGCUUGCUUGCAUCAAAGUUCACACGUUCCUGCAUAGGCAAAGGCAAAAGAUCGAUGGGAGCAGUAGGUUUGAACCCAUAGACAAUCUCAAAUGGACAAAAUUUUGUGGUCGAAUGUACUGCCCUGUUGUAUGCAAACUCCACAUGAGGCAAGCUUUCUUCCCACAAUUUCAGAUUCUUCUUUACGACAGCUCGCAGCAAUGUUGAUAAUGUGCGGUUCACAACUUCAGUUUGUCCAUCCGUUUGAGGAUGACACGUUGUGGAGAACAGCUGCCUUGUCCCCAGUUUUCCCCACAAGGUUUUCCAAAAGUAACUCAAAAACUUGGUGUCACGAUCAGACACGAUGGUACGUGGCACUCCAUGUAGACGCACAAUUUCUCUGAAAAACAAUUCAGCAAUGUGUGAAGCAUCAUCGCUCUUAUGACAGGGAAUAAAGUGUGCCAUUUUGCUAAAUCUAUCAACCACAACAAAUAUGGAAUCCUUUCCCCUCUUGGUUCGUGGUAAACCAAGGACAAAGUCCAUAGAAAUGUCCUCCCAAGGGACACUAGGGAUAGGUAGAGGAGUGUAUAAACCAUGAGGAUUCAAACGGGACUUAGCUUUAUGGCAGGUUUCACAGCGAAGAACAUGCCUCUCCACAUCUCUUCUCAUCUUAGGCCAAAAGAAAUGGUCAGUCAGCACUUGUUCUGUUUUCUUUGCACCAAAAUGGCCCAUAAGUCCUCCUGCAUGAGCUUCCUGCACUAGCAAAAUGCGAACAGAGCAAUCUGGAAUGCAAAGUUUAUUAGCUAGAAAUAAGAAACCCUCAUGCAAAUGGAAUUUUUCCCAUCCCAUGCUGCCACAACACUUGGAAUAUGGUUCAGCAAAAUAUGAAUCCUUAACAUAUAGUUCUUUUAUACUUUCUAAUCCAAGAAUUUUAGUAUCAAGUCGUGAAAGCAAAGUAUGACGUCGAGUCAAAGCAUCAGCUACAAUGUUAUUUUUCCCUUUCUUGUACUUGACAACAUAAGGAAAGGACUCAACGAACUCACUCCAUUUUGCAUGUCUUCGGUUCAGUUUUAGUUGGCCUUUAAGAUGUUUCAAAGAUUCAUGGUCUGAAUGUAUCACAAAUUCUUUAGGCAAAAGGUAGUUAUGCCAAGUUUUCAAGCUUCUAACAAGAGCAUAUAAUUCUUUAUCAUAAACUGAGUAAUUCAGAGUUGGACCACUUAGCUUUUCACUGAAGUAUGCAAUCGGCCUCCUUUCUUGCAUGAGAACGCCACCAAUUCCUAUACCACUUGCAUCACAUUCAAAUUCAAAUGUCUUACCGAAAUCUGGAAGUGCAAGAAGUGGGGCUGUUGUCAACUUCAUCUUCAGUUCUUCAAAUGCCUUCUCUUGUGCUUCUCCCCAAUUAAAAGGCACUCCUUUCUUUGUCAACUCAUUGAUUGGAGCAGCAAUGGUGCUGAAAUCUUUCACAAAUCGCCGGUAGAAACCAGCAAGUCCAAGGAAGCUACGCACUUGACUUGCAUUCUGUGGAGGCAUCCACUCACGAACAACUUUGAUCUUAUCCUCAUCCACCUCCACACCAUGUCCUGGAACAACAAAACCAAGAAAGACUACCUUGUCGGUGCAAAAUGUGCACUUGUGAAGGUUAGCAUACAAUUUUUGCUCACGUAGGACAGCAGGCACACUUUGGAUAUGCUCAACAUGUUCAUCAAGAGACUUGCUGUAAAUUAAUAUAUCAUCAAAGUAAACCACAACAAACUUGCCAAUGAAAGAUCUAAGCACAUGAUUCAUCAAUCUCAUAAAGGUACUUGGUGCAUUAGUCAAUCCAAAGGGCAUUACCAACCAUUCAUACAACCCAAACUUGGUUUUAAAAGCUGUCUUCCACUCAUCUCCUUCUCUCAUUCUUAUUUUGUGAUAGCCACUUCUCAAGUCAAUUUUAGUGAAAAUUGUUGCACCACUAAGUUCAUCAAGCAUAUCAUCAAGUCUAGGAAUGGGAUGCCUAUAUCUUACUGUGAUGUUAUUAAUAGCUCUACAGUCAACACACAUUCUCCAUGAACCAUCUUUUUUGGAACUAAAAGAAUAGGACCUGCACAAGGUGAAAGACUUUCCUGCACAUACCCUUUUCUCAUCAAUUCUUCCACUUGUUGCUGAAUUUCUCUUGUUUCCUCCGGAUUGGUGCGGUAUGCAGCUCGGUUUGGAAGUGAAGCACCGGGAACAAGGUCAAUUUGAUGUUCAAUUCCUCUCUUGGGUGGCAGACCUGGUGGUACCUCCUCUGGAAAGACAUCCUCAUAUUCCUGUAACACAUUAAAAAUAACACUUGGCAAAGUAGAGGAUAAGUCGUUAGGGGAAAGAAAAUUUUCCUUGUACAGGAGUACAACGAAUGUGGCAUUGGGUUCACUCAAUUCUUUUAAAUCCCCUUUCCUAGCCAUCAUAACUAAUCCCUCUUUUCCCUUUGUCUUGGUCAUUUGUGGUUGUGGGGUUUUAAUUGGCUUUGGAAACACUCCCUCACUAUUUUUGUGGGUCACUCGCAAGUGGUUCUCGCUCUCUCGCUGUUUUCUUUUUAGAUCAUCAUUCAAAAUCUCCUCCGGUGUCAAAGUGAGCAAAGAAAUUCGCUCUCCUUUGUACAUGAAAACCAGCUUGUUGGUUCUUCCAAAGAUCUGAACAUCACGAUCAUAUAACCAUGGUCUACCUAGCAGCAGCUGGCAUGCUUGCAUAGGCACCACAUGACACUCCACAUGAUCAUUAUACCUCCCAAUAGAGAAAGGAACUGUCACAACAUGGCUCACACGCAGCGCACCACAAUCGUUCAGCCACUGCAUCUUGUAUGGAUUAGGAUGACGUCUUUGUUUUAGCUCCAUUCUAUCAACCAAUUCUUGGCUAGCAAUAUUGUUGCAGCUGCCAUUGUCAACAAUAAUUCUACACAACUUCUCUUUGAUCAUGCCUUGAGUGUGGAAAAGAUUGUGUCGCUGCCCAUUCUCUUCCUUUGCAGCAGUAACACUAAGCACACGAAGAGAAAUAAAACAGUUGUUAUCAACUUCAUCGGGUUGGAUCUCAUUAUCAUGGUUCUCAUGAUCCUCAUCAUAUCUUGGACCUUCUUCCUCUCGAUCACUUUCAGAUUCCCAUUCACCAUUCUCAUUCACAAUCAUGGUCCUCCUACUAGGACAUUGUGCAGCAAUAUGUCCACGACCAAGGCACUUGUGGCACACAAUUUCUCUACUACGUGCAGAGGAAGUAGUAGCUGAGGAAACAACAGUUGGGGCUGCUACACUUGUAGUAGGUCGCUGCUGAUAUGCAGGGGAUGAUGCUGUAGAAACCACCAUCUUUGAAGGAGCAUUAGAUGAAGAGGGCCUAGCUGCAGCACCUUGGGACCGUCCCCCACCAAAAGAAGUGCUGGACUGCUGCUUGCGCCAUGGGGCUGCAAUAGAAUGACUUGUAUAAGAUUUUCCACGUGUCUCUUGCUGAAUUUUUCUUUCAGUACGCAUAGCUUGAUCAACAAGGUCUUGCAAAGUAAGGUAUGGAAACAUCUCAACAAAACCAGCAAUUUCCUCAUUGAGACCACCCAAAAAUCUUGCCAUUUUUGACUCUGGAUCCUCUCUAAUUCCAGUCCGCACUAACAGCAGCUCCAUCUCCUUAUAGUACUCAUCAACCGAUCUUUUUUCCUUGCUUCAACAUUUGUAACCUAUUGCGAAGGUCACGCUGAUAGCUUGAUGGUACAAAUCGCCUUCUCAUCACUUGUUUCAUCUCUUCCCAUGUGUUGAUAUGUUCACGGCCCAACCCAAGUUGAUUCUCUUGUAUCUGAUUCCACCAAGUCAGAGCAUAACCAGAGAACUCCACUGAAGCAAGAUUGACACACCUCUGAUCAGAGAGAUUAUGCACUCUAAAAAUUUGAUCACACUGCUCAGCCCACUCAAGAUAUGCAUCUGCAUCCUCUCUUCCAGUGAAUUUUGGGAUACUCAAUUUAACACGAGCAAUGCUGUCCGGUUCUUCCCUAUUACGACGUCCAUGAUGAUGCUCUCUAUCUCCAUGAUUAGCAUGCCGCCAAUGAUAAUGGUGCUGCCUAUGCAGCCCAUCAUUUGCAAAGGGAUUCUCAUCAGACCCCUCUUCGUGACCAAAGUUAUCAAAUUCUUCAUCAUCAAAAUGAACUCGAUGGCCACGACCACGUCCAUGAGCUCGUCCUCCAUUUUGGCCAUGAUGACUAGCCCGCCUACCACCACCACGACCAUCUCUAAAACGGUCAUGUCCUCCAUUAGAAUUUUCAGCACCAGAUUCAUCAGAUUGAUGCCGAGGAGCCCUCUGCCCAUCCGCAGGUAUGCGUGCAUCAAGCAUUCUCUCCAUGGCCUGCAAGAGUGAGUCUGCCAUUUGGCGCCACUCAGCCCGUGCAACAGGGGGUUCUUCUCCAUGUCGAUUACCAUGAAUACUUGAGUUGGAUCAUGUCAUGUUAGCACUUAAGGCAAAAUAUAGUGGUAUGGGUAAAUUUGUGGAAUCACACAACCUCACCUCUUACUUACCAAUGCUCUUUCCUGUUCUCAAGGACAGUGAAUUGUGCUAGUGGGCUCGAUAGAAGUGAUUCCGAGGUCACAAGGAUUACGAGUCGAAUGUCCUGGUUUCAGUUUUAGGUGGAGCUAUAGGUGGCUAAACAAGGGAGGCCACGGUACUGAAAAUCAAGUGAUUUGAUGUGCUCACAAGAUGUAAUGUUGCUAGAAUAUAAAUCACCAAGAAUCUGAAUGUGUAAACUGAAUUUUCAGUGAGCAAACCGCAAUACUACCCCUCUCCUCUUCUUUUACAUUUUCUUUCGGAUCUUUCUGUUCUUCUUUUUUUUCUUUCUUUCUCUGAAUUUUGUUUUCUCUAAUUUUUUUGGACUCUUCUUUUUUUUAUGCUAACAGGGGUGCGGAUAACAAAUGAAACACGACACAAUAUAUGUAAAGAGGGUGACUAGCAACUUGAUGAACACAAAAAACACAAGAUAACAGUAGCGUUCAAAGGGCUCUAGGAUUUGUUUUGUGGCUUUUUCAGUGGACUAUAGGUGAUGAACAAAACAGUAGCAAACGUAAGAUAAACUAAAGGUAUAUAUGUGGAUGAUUGUGAGACCUACCGUGACAACGAAAGCUUUGAUACCAGAAGAAAGUGCGUGUUAAUUCUAUAUUAUAUGGAAAAUAUACAUGAGAUUUUGAAAUGCAGAUCAAUACAAUAUAUAUAUAUAUAUAUAAAUAUAUAUAAAUAUAUAUAUAUACCUUUUUUGGGUUUUUCGGCUCCUUUGGUGCCUUGUUUGGUGCCUGAAUCAUUGUGUGCAAAACAAAUAAAUUAGUGACACUAAUCUGCAACAUAGUAUGAAAGAAUAGAGGACAUCAAUAUCAGACAAAGAAAGUGCGUGUUAAUUAAUUAUAUAUAUAUAUACCUUUUUUGGUGCCUAAAUCAUUUUGCGUGUU